AGUCCGGGCCCGUGCAGGCCGCGUCCGUGCCGCAGCAGGCGUCGGUGGACUCGGCGCGAGGACUGCCAGAGUCGCCGACCAAGGGCGCGCGCUGGCACCGCCGGGCGCGGGGCUUCUUCGUACGCGCCCUCGCCAUCCUCUGCUUCCGCCAACGCCGCGGCACCGCGUCCACCGCCAACCUGGUGCUCGCCGCCGCCCGCCCGCAGACCGCCUAGUCGGGCCCGCCGCCUACUCUCCUCGCCACCCUGCCGGCCUCCAGCGGCGCAGCCUGCCCCGUGGGGCCGUGGGCCGUGGGGCCGUGGGCCGUGGGGCUGUGGUGUGGGGCCCAGCCAGACCAGCCACCGCGUCGUGCCUGCUGGUCUUGAUUUCCGGUGGGAAAUGGGUCUGCCGGAGUGUGGCUGCGAAAACCUGCUGAGUCCUUCCCGGAUUCCCGGCCGAGCUCGGCUCUCGGCCAAGGCAGCCCAGGCGCGUCGGUGCGGACCGGCCACCGGCACGGACCUCGUCAACUUCGUGGAGGCCGCGCCGCUGGACGUCGCCAAGCGUUGCCACUGCCGCGUUGCCGCUGCGUGCACAACCCUCCUCGGUCCCGAGAUACUGGCGCGGUGCACGGCCUGAAGCGGCAAUGCUACAAACUGGCUUUGUGGCGGAAAGAAAAAGAAAUUAGUUCAAGGCGGAGUUGUGAGGUUUCGCUUGACUUGGAGUUCGGGGGACUUUUCCCGAGCGAGGUAGAACGAAUGCGGAAGCAUCGAGCCAGUAUUGGCAGGCAAUCAAAAUUAACUCCCCUCCCUCUAGACAUGUGACCUGGAAGUUUGCGGAUAGAUUAUAAUGAGUGUAUUUAUUAUCGAAUAAAUUACCCUUGUGUGAAUAGAUGUGAACCCGAAGAUGUUUUGAGGACUUAUUCCUUUCCUCUAUAGAAAUGUGUGUCGCUAUUAUUGAGAUCUUCUAGAGAACUACUAUUCUCUCUUUGACAUUUAUCUGCUUUGACAAUUUCUUUCCGGGGCCCUCUGUGUGUAGACAUGAUUUCUGUAUCUAUUGUGCCUUUAAUCCGAAAAAUGUAUGUCCUUAAAUGUUAUUUUGUCCCCCCCCCCUUUCCCUUACAAACUGAACCCAACCCCCUCCACUCAGAGAUCGUCAUAAUCAAUGCAUCUCAAUCCUUCCUCUGGCACCUCUUUGUUAAAUGAAUAGGUGUCGUUGCUCUCGGACGAAUUCAUCCGGCCAAUAAAUCUUCUUUCCCUCGCAGAUCUGACGUAGUUUUAAGGGAAUUUCAUAAAUGACGCCCCCUCCCCCUUUUCUCUCUCCUCCGCCACGCCCCCUUCCCCACCUUUCUGCUCCAUUUCCGCCUCGGGAGGCGACUCACCCCUUUCAGAGGAGUGCUCGCUGGCGGGGCUGGCCCGCCGAAUGAUGGCGCCAUCUAUCUCGCCAGUGCGGCGAGGAUAAGGAUGGCGAGGAUAGCAGGUGGAGGGAGAGGGGGGCAACGGGUAUCGAUGUUGCCGCUGACUGCCCAUCAACGACUGCGGGCGGAGCUUUAGCACAAAGCGGGAAAAAGUGAUGUCAAGAAAUAGAAAAAAAUCGAAAUGCCGAGUUUGAAGAGGGGGUAGAACAACUUAACGUAUAUUUUCCAAACCAAUCCUGCUAGGUCAAAAUGUCAGUAACGAAACCGAGAAGCCAACGUCGGAGUUUAAACUAAGAUUUUUGAAAAAAUUCCCCUUGAUAUUUAUUUUUUUAUAAAAUGUGAGCUUCUUUGUCAUUUACAAACGGUGUGGUACGCAUCUCAUGUCCAUUCCCAUGUGUUCAUGUUUUGUUCCUCCUGUAGAAAGUCUGGUUUGUUUCUAUUCUUCGGAGUGGAGUAAAUUAAAUGUUUCCAAGUCUGUCUCAUAUUUUCUUUGAAUACAACUAUUGGUGCCUCUUUCUGUAAUACUUCCUUUAGUCCCGUUUGUGAUUUAAAAAAAUAUUAGGAACAAAAUGAGAAUAUGGGUUAAUUGUACUUAAACUAAUGCCUUUCUCAGCUUGUCUCUCUAUGCGGUGCAAUAUUUUCAUGUGAUGUGUGUAUGGACCUUACUCCUCAUAAGAUUGACCAAUAAGGAAAGUAAAUAAGUAAUAAAAUCAUGGGAAUAAAAUUCAUGGGAAAAGAUACCUUAUUCAAAAUCAAAAUAAUUGUAAAUUUUAGUGACUGUUCUGUGUGUCUGUGUUGUAGAAAAGUGUACUUUUGGAACAUUCCACUCUAUGUAUGUGUGUUAAAUAAAAAUGUAUAAAAAUCGAGAUAAAAAUAGUGUUUGAAGCCUU